CAGAAGAAGCACCGGCUAACUACGUGCCAGCAGCCGCGGUAAUACGUAGGGUGCGAGCGUUAAUCGGAAUUACUGGGCGUAAAGCGUGCGCAGGCGGUUGUGUAAGACAGAUGUGAAAUCCCCGGGCUCAACCUGGGAACUGCGUUUGUGACUGCACAACUAGAGUACGGCAGAGGGAGGUGGAAUUCCGCGUGUAGCAGUGAAAUGCGUAGAGAUGCGGAGGAACACCGAUGGCGAAGGCAGCCUCCUGGGCCAGUACUGACGCUCAUGCACGAAAGCGUGGGGAGCAAACAGGAUUAGAUACCCUGGUAGUCCACGCCCUAAACGAUGUCAACUAGUUGUUCGGUGAGGAGACUCAUUGAGUAACGCAGCUAACGCGUGAAGUUGACCGCCUGGGGAGUACGGCCGCAAGGUUAAAACUCAAAGGAAUUGACGGGGACCCGCACAAGCGGUGGAUGAUGUGGAUUAAUUCGAUGCAACGAG
rnacentral:rRNA from 1 species